rnacentral:rRNA from 1 species
CAUGGCUCAGGAUGAACGCUAGCUACAGGCUUAACACAUGCAAGUCGAGGGGCAGCAUGGAAGAAGCUUGCUUCUUCUGAUGGCGACCGGCGCACGGGUGCGUAACGCGUAUCAAACCUGCCUCAUACUCGGGGAUAGCCUUGCGAAAGUAAGAUUAAUACCCGAUGUUGUUAUGUUACCGCAUGGUGAUAUAACCAAAGAUUUAUCGGUAUGAGAUGGUGAUGCGUCCGAUUAGGUAGUAGGCGGGGUAACGGCCCACCUAGCCUUCGAUCGGUAGGGGUUCUGAGAGGAAGGUCCCCCACACUGGAACUGAGACACGGUCCAGACUCCUACGG